AAUGCAUAGGAAUCUGCCCGAUAGUGGGGGAUAACCUGGGGAAACUCAGGCUAAUACCGCAUACGUCCUACGGGAGAAAGCAGGGGAUCUUCGGACCUUGCGCUAUCGGAUGAGCCUAUGUCGGAUUAGCUAGUUGGUGAGGUAAUGGCUCACCAAGGCGACGAUCCGUAGCUGGUCUGAGAGGAUGAUCAGCCACAUCGGGACUGAGACACGGCCCGAACUCCUACGGGAGGCAGCAGUGGGGAAUAUUGGACAAUGGGGGCAACCCUGAUCCAGCCAUGCCGCGUGUGUGAAGAAGGCCUUCGGGUUGUAAAGCACUUUCAGUGAGGAAGAAGGCCUCGGGCUUAAUACGUCCGAGGGAGGACAUCACUCACAGAAGAAGCACCGGCUAACUCCGUGCCAGCAGCCGCGGUAAUACGGAGGGUGCGAGCGUUAAUCGGAAUUACUGGGCGUAAAGCGCGCGUAGGUGGCGUGAUAAGCCGGUUGUGAAAGCCCCGGGCUCAACCUGGGAACGGCAUCCGGAACUGUCAUGCUAGAGUGCAGGAGAGGAAGGUAGAAUUCCCGGUGUAGCGGUGAAAUGCGUAGAGAUCGGGAGGAAUACCAGUG
rnacentral:rRNA from 1 species